UGAUAAUGUAAAUGUCUGUUUUAAUUUUUUCUUUCUAUCAUUUUGUUUCAUUCAACAAGAAAUGUCCAUUAUUCUA